GAGGGCGUUUCGGGAGCGGCGCCGGUCUAAGUCCCUUGGAACAGGGCGUCAUAGAGGGUGAGAAUCCCGUCUGCGACCGGCGGCCAACCCCAUGUGAAACCCCUUCGACGAGUCGAGUUGUUUGGGAAUGCAGCUCAAAAUGGGUGGUAAAUUUCAUCUAAAGCUAAAUACCGGCCAGAGACCGAUAGCGCACAAGUAGAGUGAUCGAAAGAUGAAAAGCACUUUGGAAAGAGAGUCAAACAGUACGUGAAAUUGUUGAAAGGGAAGCGCUGGCAACCAGACCUGUCCGCGGGCAUCAGCCCCCGUUCUUCGGGGGUGCACUUGUCCGCGAUCAGGCCAGCAUCGGUUCGGGCGGUCGGAUAAAGGCCCUGGGAAUGUAGCUCCCCUCGGGGAGUCUUAUAGCCCUCGGCGCAAUGCGGCCAGCCCGGACCGAGGACCGCGCUUCGGCUAGGAUGCUGGCGUAAUGGUUGUCAGCGACCCGUCUUGAAACACGGACCAAGGAGUCUAACAUCUAUGCGAGUGUUUGGGUGUCAAACCCAUGCGCGGAAUGAAAGUGAACGGAGGUGAGAACCCGUCCAGGGCGCAUCAUCGACCGAUCCAGAUGUCUUCGGAUGGAUUUGAGUACGAGCAUAGCUGUUGGGACCCGAAAGAUGGUGAACUAUACUUGAAUAGGGUGAAGCCAGAGGAAACUCUGGUGGAGGCUCG
rnacentral:rRNA from 1 species